AUGUUUUAGAGAUGAAGGCAACUUGUAGUUGCCAGAUGUUUGAGUUCUCAGGUCUUCUUUGCAGACAUGUUUUGGCAGUCUUUAGAGUGACAAAUGUGCUUACUCUCCCAUCACAUUAUAUUUUGAAAAGAUGGACGAGGAAUGCCAAGAGUAGUGUUAUAUUGGAAGAACGUUCUACUGAUGUAUAUGCUAAUUAUCUGGAAUCUCACACAGUUCGAUAUAAUACCCUACGCCAUGAGGCCUUCAAAUUUGUAGAUGAAGGUUCCAAGUCCCUAGACACGUACAAUGUGGCAGUAAGUGCUUUGCAAGAGGCUACAAAAAGAGUCGCACUUGCAACAAAGAAUGAGAGGAGAAGUUCGACGGUGAAUGGUCGUAGUAGAGGGGAGUUGGCAAGUAAUGGAAGCAGGGCAAAUUAUAUCAGUGGGAAUCAUCUAGGGAGCUCCACCCAACUCUUGUCAGAGGAUGAUAUGGACAAGAAGAUCCAAGAACUUACCAAUGAGCUGGAUUAUGCAAAUCGAAAGUGUGAAGUUUAUCGGGCUAACCUACUUUCGGUCUUAAAAGACAUAGAGGAUCAUAAACUACAGUUGUCAAUUAAAGUCCAAAACAUAAAGAUUAGUAUGAAAGACAGUAUCUAAAGUGCAAGGUAGUUUCUUUUGUAAUUCCGCACCCUCUUUCUCCCAAGGUUAAUUUUCAAGUCGAUGUGCUUCACCAUUCUCUAAAUCUAUUGACCUUUUGCAUAGCGUAGAUUUUGUGAAAUAUUUCAAUUAAUG
rnacentral:misc_RNA from 1 species